AACGGUUAACCUAAAAAAAAAAUAGCCAGAAGCUCGCACCCGAAUCCUCGUGCCCUCGACGCGGCCUCGGAGACCCGCCAUUGCGGAACCCCUCCAUCUUUCAGACCACAUCGCCGCCGCCGCCGACCUCUCCCAGUCCCUCUCGUACCACGCCGCCGGCCCCCCUCCCCUCCCCUCCCCUCAUCAUAAAGAAGGAGAGACAGGGAUGCUCUUCCUCAGACGGCGGCGGCGGCCAGAUCGAGCAGGGCAGGGCACCACACGGCGCUCUCCGAUCCGCCACGGUCGCAAGAGGAAUCGCGCCGGAUGGGAGAGGACCGUCUGCUACGACUGCUUCAUGCGUCGUUGUUGGAGAUGCUCGCGCGCCGGGAGCUUCCUCCGCUCUCCCCCUGCCCCGACCGUAGACGCAGCAGCAGCGCACACCGCCAUUGGUUGUGGCUGGUUGUACCUCGGAGCUCCUUCCUUCCUGCUUCCUCUGAUUGCGCCUCCGGGGACUAGCGAUGAACUUGUUUUCUGGAUCCCAAAUGGAGGAUGAAGUUGAAUAUAUAUACUACAGCCGGAUGAUCAAGUCCAAGUAUUCGUAUGUUGCUAUAUUGUUAGUCACUAGCAUGUGCCCAUGGCACCCAAGCUGGCGUAGGCGCUGCAGAUUGCCCUCUCGCCAAAGCCUCAACCAGCUGGUGAAAUAGCUGCAGAAUUACAGUGUACCUCAAAUUUCAUAAUUGGGAACUGCAGUCAUGGGUAUCUUGUGGCUUCAUCAGUUCAUCACUAUCUUAUAAGGCGGGAAUUACUCAGCACAAUAUUACUCAUGCACUGGAAAAGACCAAAUAUCCAGAUCGAGACAUACUGGAGGAAAUUUGAUGAGAAGUAUCAUUUUUCUUGUCAGUUUACUUCUGAUAUAAUCGCUAUGAACACUGUUGAUUUCAUAAUCAAUGCACUUGAUGUUUCACGAUCUGUACUGCAGAUUUUCAGAACACUAAGGGCAUAUCUUGGCUUGGAAUGCUGAUGGUUGGGCGAACGUCAUGGAUCAUGGCAAGUGCGAUUUUCAGAACACUAAGGGCAUAUCUUGGCUUGGAAUGCUCAUGGUUCGACGAACGUCAUGGAUCAUGGCAAGUGCUCCUCUCCACUUCCCCUCCCUGCUAAAAAUCAGUUCCAAUUGUUGUACAAGUUUCCCGAUAUGGCUUUCUGAAUUUUAAUUUGUCGCUUGUUCUGUCGUACUCGGUGGUUAUUGUUUGGCCUACAUAUAGAGGUAAAUGUUUUGUAUGAGAUUAUUUAUCCGGACCUCACCGAUGAUUACUUGAACUCAGGUUGGACAACAUAUGAAAUGUUAAAUUUAGCAAGAUAUUGCGAUUCGAUUUCUCUUUCAAUGUCAUCAUCCUGCAAUGGAUGUGUAUGUCUAUUUUGUCAUCUAGUUGCGAUGCAUGGGCACUUUCAUUUGAUUAUACAGUUCUACUGCGGGAAGGGAAAUAUGGACUCUGGAUGUCCAUUUCUGAGGUGUCAAUCUGGUGCUCGGCUAUAUAGUACAGGGAAGAGUUCUUCUAGAUCCUAAUACAGGUAAUCUGAUUCAUAGCUUAGGCGCAUUUUUCUUUAUUCAUAGUUAGCUAAUAGCAAUAACAUCUGCACUUUCCCUACAACCUAUAUUGAAGGUAAAGUAAUGAUUUCACAUAGGCACUUUCCCUACAACCUAUAUCGAAGGUACUAACUGCAAUAUUUUCCAUAUGAACCUGAUAAAGAUAGUACUAAUACCUUGAAUUUCUACAAAGAAUAGGUGACACCAAGUUGCCAACCAUCUUUGGACCUGUCAUCUUUUUCCCCACUAGGGCGCUUCCUUCAAAUUUAUCAAUUUGGAGACAUGGGUGCCCUCAAGUUGACACGCUUGUUCUUAUUGUUGCUUACGUAUGAAUUUCCUGAGAGCUGCUUACGUAUUUUUUAUUCAUGAAUUACAUGACCAAUGAGUCAGGUGUGAAAAUGCUUUAUAAAUCAAGACAACCAACAUGCUGAAAUUUUGGAGCAAUUGCUGAAGGAAAGUACCACUUACUCUUGUUUCAAGUAGAUUUCAUCAUUUUAUUCUUAGAGUCAGCUACAUAGUUAAUAUUGCAAAACUUAUAGUUCAUGGUGAAGGAAAGUACCUAUUGCAAGUAGACUUCAUCAUCUUAUUCUUAGAGACAGCUACAUAUGGUUAAUAUUGCAAAACUUAAAGUUCCGGUUUGUGAUAUGUACGUCCCCCUCUGCAGAAAUGCUUAAUACUACUAUGAGAAAAGUAGGGAAAUGCUCACCCUCUGCAAAAUGUAUUGGUUCGUCUCGCGGUCUCACCCCCAAAAAUAGAGGAGAGGAGCAAGGAGCUCCUCCAUCACACUCGUAGGCUCCAAGGAGCCCGUCGCCAUGCAUGGAGGAGAGGAGCAGGGAGCUCCGCCGCCGCAUAAGGUUAUAUCCAUUGUUGCAUCUUGUAAUUAUUAAUUUGGAAUAAAUCAUGCAAUUGGCAUUUAUAUAAGUUUGUAGGCAAACCAAGUCUGCAACGUUUGAAUAUUAUACUCGGUGAGUUGCUCAACUACUUACAGUCCUAUUACUUGAGACUUAUACUUGAUCAGUUGCCGUGUACAUUAUUAUGACAUAGAUGAAACCAUGUCUAUGUUGAAGCCAGAUGGAACUGACCAUCUAAACAUAUGUCAAAUUAUUGUAGUACAUGCUUCAGUACUGCAAGUUGGAGUAGCAAGUAAGUAUAAAUCAAAAGAAAGUAUUGCUUCAGUACUGACCAUCUAAAAAGUUCAGUUGUUUACUGACAUGUGCAUCUUGUUCAUCCUUUUGUUAUUGAAUUUGGAAACGCGUGUAAGGUUUCCGUAUCUUGAAGUUAUGAAUACUGAGAAGUGCAAGCCUUUCUCUUCUAGAAAAUUACGGAAUUGGCUCACACACUAUCAAAUAAUUUGAUGCACUCUUUUUUUAUUUUAAAUGGUUAGGAGGAACAAGUGAAGGCUUCUAUUUUGGAUCAGUUCUUUUAUUGCAUAGUUGGAUAACAAUUUCUUAAUGAUUAUUAGAAUGAUACUCAAACAUAUGAACGUUCUCCAUAAUCAGAUUAAAUCACUCCUGCAGCCUGCAACUGUAGUAAAUAAAAUUAUUUAGAUUCAAGCUAAAAAAGAAUUAUUCAGAUUCUACCAUGUAUCUACUUACAAACUAAAAGAGAAUGUAACCAUAUAAUGAUUAUUUAGAUUCAAGCUAGAAAAGAAUUAUCCACACGCCAACAAUUUAGGUAAGAGAUUUACGCCCCGCUUGGAAUCGGUGUAUCUAUAUCCUGUAUUUAUUUUACAAGUGUAUUUUACCGGCCACGCUUGAUAAUCCACCUGGAUAAAAAAAGAUGGAUGGAGGCGUGUAAAUUUUACAGGUGUAUAGCGCUCUGAAACGAGAAUCCAAUCAGGCCCUUAGAUUAUUUGUGUAGGUUAUUAUAAUAUAUAAUGCAGAGAUCUCAGGGUAUAAGGUGCAGCAAUAAGUCUUGGUUUUAUUUUGCAUUUUGAGUACUGAAUUACAAAAGAUAUGAUGCUUGCACGUAAUUUCAGUGUCAUGAUAAUUUUCACUUCACAAAAAGAUUGAAACAUUGCUCCUACAACUGUGGUACCUGUUUGCUGUGAUGGAAGGUUACGGGUAAGCUCACUUAUCACAGGAAAGAAAUGAUUGGUUCAGUGUGCUUCACGAAAUUAACUUGCCACUGCAACACAAUUUACAGUUCAUCAGUUUUGAGCCUAAGUUCCAUUUUAUUGAUGCUUCCUUUAUACAUAGAUUUAUUGGCUUGCCUCUUCCUCUGCCAUUUGAUUUCCUUCAGAUUACUUGCAUCAUAAAUUUCAAGGUUACAGAUCUGGCACUGAAUGAGACAAUCAUUAUUAGGAUUGAAGGAUGCUUCAAUGAUGCUGUCAGCAGUAAGAAACACUUGCAAAUUAUUAAAACAAAAUGGCCUGCCGAGAUCAAUAUCGGUGACAUAGAUAGCUUUAAUGGGAUGAUGAAGCAUUUGACCUGAGACGAGUGUCGGGAGGGGCUAAGCAUGAUUGCGACGAGGGCGAGACGUUGCUGCGACCGUGACCGCAACCGGUGGAGCGAGGCGCCGGUGAUCGUGUUUUCCGCUGGUGUUUCUGAUCUGCCGUGCUCGGUUUUUGGCAGCUUCGAUCCAAUUGAUCCCCUCCAGAAGCAUUCAGGUGAGUGAGCAACUUACGCUCCACCAAUGCAGGCAGUGGCGGAGCUUAGUGUAGACCAACAGGGGCCAUGGCCCCCCCUUAUUUUUUGCAUCCAUUGAAGAAUAGGCUACAUUAUGAGCCUAAUUAGUGUUUAAACUACAAAUUAGCCCCUCCUUCCCUAUUAACUUGGUUCCUUUUCACUAAUGGCCCCCUCUUGAAUUACUCUCAAGCUCUGCCACUGAAUGCAGGCGUCUAGAGGUUCAACUGCGUGGGCAGGAGCUCGGUUGGUUUGCUUAUAUGCAUUUUUUUUCUUCAACAUUGGAUUAUUUUGGUAGUUCAUGCAUGUCCGUCCUCUUUAUAUGGUUUUUCUCAUAAUUCACGCCCCAAAGAUAGGUUCUUUUAGUUACUACAUAUUUUAGUUUUUUCUGCUUACUGUCAUGUCCACUUUCUUGUCUGAUUAAGCAACUAAUAUAUGAAUAUCUGUGCACAGUUCUACCAUUUUUGCACUCACUUAUGGGGCCAUCUAUGUUGAGUUUGUUCUGCUAUUCUCCAACUUAAAUCAAGAAUGCAGUCUCAUGUCAUUGUCUUUGCUAAUACAGAUUGUAAUGCAAUCCAAUUGUAGUGUCAUGUUUCAGCUCCUUUUAUUUUAAUCGUGAUGUGCAUGGUUGUUCAUGUUCUCUUCUUGCCAUGCACUAAUCGAAGUGUACAUGUAGAUGCUCAAAAUUGCUUAUCAUCAAAUUACUUGACUUAUGUACUGCUUGGACUUGUUUAAUUAAAGAGACGUCUCUUUAAAUUGACUAUAUUUACUUGUCACACAUCAUUUGGGUCUUUUGCAUUGCCGAGAGUUGUUACCCGAAAGUUCAUACAUUGUAUAAUUUCUUGUUAUCCUUCUGUGCAUGGAGUCAUCUUCUGGGUAGUACAAUCCAGGUCGACCAUGCUGAGAUAAUCAUCAUUUUAAUUAUGACAGCUUACCAAGUUUAAUAUUUCAGUUCUCCGAAACAUAAUCUGAUUAUGACAGCUUAUCAAAUUUAAUAUUCUGCACAUGGUGAACUUCAUCAAAUUAGGAUACGGAUACCUACUUGUUUUAUCAUUCUAUCAGCAACCUAAGCUCUUACUAUAAGAUAUUAAACCCAUUUGUAUUUCAGACCUUGCACGCUUCUGAUGGGGAAGAAAAAAGUGACUUGUCCCUAUGGAGACAAUGGAUCUCUGUAUCAAGGCUGCCGGCGGAAGCUUACGCCAGUCGCCCGUGAUUCGUUCAAUCGCGUCUCAUCUACCGGUUCUCCCUAAUGCACACAUCCAGGCGAUUCAAUCCCCUCCUUCAUCCUUACCUCAUGAGGAAACCGCCAGCCACUCGUUCUGUCUCAUUCCUCUCAUCUCUCAAGCUCGUUUUGUCCCUCUCUCACAGCACCUUUUUUCUCCUUUUCAUCUAGCGUCACUACCGGACGUAGUUGCGAGGGUGAAUGUGGGGGGCAGGUGGCGAGCCGAAUGCAAGUGCAAGUGAGGCGUCUGGCGACGGGCAGCAAGGACGAACGCGUGCACGAGCCGUGCUGCUGCAGGAGGCGCCGCAACGUGAUGCAACUGAGGAGCUACAACCGCCGGUUAGUGAAGCUGCAACUGUCAGAUGGUGCCUACAUUCAGACGGCCGGCAACGAUGACUGCCCGACUGCCGGCUGCGUGUGGAGACAAGCAUGGCGAGAUGGAAAGCUGCGACAGGCAAAGAUUUUUGCUGGAACCGGUGACAUGUUUUGUUGGGACUGACAGGGCGAUGUGCUACGACGGUGACGCAGGGGCGGCGACGGUAUGUUGGGACCGGGAAGACGAAUAACUUCAACCGACAAUGAUAUUUGCUGGAACCAGUGGCAUGUUUUGUUGGGACCGGAGGAGCGACGUGCUUGCAUCGGUGACGGUGUGCGGGGACCAGCAAGACGAAAAGCUACAACCGCCAAUGAUUUUUGCUGGAACCAUUCAUGAUGGCACCGCGACACGUGACACGGGGGGGGGGGGGGGGGGGGGGGGGGGUCGCGUUUUUGCUGCACCUAUUAUCAUUUUUGCUACGCCCGAUGUUGAAGAUGCUAUGGUGACGGGGCUCGUCGCUGCAACCAUUGGAAGGCCAGACAAGUGCUUCCUGCUUCCUAGGAAGGCAAGGAAUCAAGUACUGCAACGUCCGCCACUUUUUGCUGCGACAACCUUUGGAUGGGCGCAGCGAGCCGCGGCGCUGCAAGCGGUCGAUGAGGGGGUCAUGCGCUAUCUUUCCUACGACGAGGGACGGAACGAGCACCGAGGUGCCUCGAGCUGGUGGGCGCGAGAUGAAUUUUAGGCGGCUGUUCCAUGUCUAUUUUUGCUUGUUAUGACAGAGAUGGAGAUAGAUUAUGUCGAUAUUCAGCAACGAUCUA